GACGAACGUUGGCGGCGUGCUUAAUACAUGCAAGUCAACUGAAGCAGUGGUAGCAAUAUCGCUGUGGAGGUGGCGCACGGGUGAGUAACACGUAGGUAAUCUGCCUUCAGGUCUGGCAUAACUCCGGGAAACCGGGGCUAAUAGCAGAUGAUGCAGCGGCUCGACAUCGAGACAGUUGUUAAAGCUAUGGCGCCUGAAGAUGAGCCUGCGUCUGAUUAGCUAGUUGGCGGGGUAACGGCCCACCAAGGCAACGAUCAGUAGCUGGUCUGAGAGGAUGAUCAGCAACACUGGAACUGAGACACGGUCCAGACUCCUACGGGAGGCAGCAGUAAGGAAUAUUGCUCAAUGGGAGAAAUCCUGAAGCAGCAACGCCGAGUGAGGGACGAAGGGCUUUUGCUUGUAAACCUCUGUAGUGAGAGAAAAAAAUCCCAAUCUUUGGGACAUGAUGGUAUCUCAAAAGUAAGCCCCGGCUAACUACGUG
rnacentral:rRNA from 1 species